AGUGAACGCUGGCGGCAGGCCUAAUACAUGCAAGUCGAACGGCAGCACGGCAGAGCUUGCUCUGUGGGUGGCGAGUGGCGGACGGGUGAGGAAUACAUGGGAAUCUGCCCAGUCGUGGGGGAUAACGUAGGGAAACUUACGCUAAUACCGCAUGCGCCCUUCGGGGGAAAGCCGGGGACCUUCGGGCCUGGCGCGAUUGGAUGAGCCCAUGUCGGAUUAGCUAGUUGGCGGGGUAAUGGCCCACCAAGGCGACGAUCCGUAGCUGGUCUGAGAGGAUGAUCAGCCACACUGGAACUGAGACACGGUCCAGACUCCUACGGGAGGCAGCAGUAGGGAAUAUUGGACAAUGGGCGCAAGCCUGAUCCAGCCAUGCCGCGUGAGUGAAGAAGGCCCUCGGGUUGUAAAGCUCUUUUGUCCGGAAAGAAAAGCGCCGGGUUAAUACCCUGGUGUCCUGACGGUACCGGAAGAAUAAGCACCGGCUAACUUCGUGCCAGCAGCCGCGG
rnacentral:rRNA from 1 species